CCUACGGGUGGCUGCAGCCAGGAAUCUUGCGCAAUGGGCGAAAGCCUGACGCAGCAACGCCGCGUGGGCGAUGAAGGCCUUCGGGUCGUAAAGCCCUGUUGUCGGGGACGAAGGGCGAAGGGUUAAUAGCCCCUAGCCUGACGGUACCCGACGAGGAAGCCCCGGCUAACUACGUGCCAGCAGCCGCGGUAAUACGUAGGGGGCGAGCGUUGUCCGGAAUCACUGGGCGUAAAGAGCGUGUAGGCGGCCCGGUAAGUCUGCUGUGAAAACCCGGGGCUCAACCCCGGGCGUGCAGUGGAAACUGCCGGGCUAGAGGGCGGCAGAGGCGAGUGGAAUUCCCGGUGUAGCGGUGAAAUGCGCAGAUAUCGGGAGGAACACCAGUAGCGAAGGCGGCUCGCUGGGCCGUCCCUGACGCUGAGACGCGAAAGCUAGGGGAGCGAACAGGAUUAGAUACCCUAGUAGUC
rnacentral:rRNA from 1 species